ACUAUAUUUAACUUGGGUCACAGGGGCAGAAUUUGAGAGCCAUAAAAACUGCAGUCUAAGAAAAAUAGCUGUGGAAGUUUCAUCGCGAAAGGAAGAGAUUAAUACCUGAAGUUAGACGAAUAGGGAAAGAAAGAAAAGCGUGCUUUACUGAAAUCAUCUUGAACACUGGCGUAGGAAGGAUGGUGCUUAUCCAUUCCCUGACCUGAAACACAAGCUGUUUGCUUUUUGUUUUGUUUUGUUUUACACAGAGACUUUUGUGGUAAGCGGGUCCCUGGUUUGGUGGCCUCCUGAGCAUCCCGAGGACAUCAAGGCUCCCGAGCCUCCCCCUGGGCAAAAGUAUGGACACGAAUGUGAAGCCUGCACUUUCUCAGAGCAGAGAAGGGAUGACGUCAAACAGUGGUGCAGUAUGCAGAAUAAUACCCCUUCGGAGAUACCCCUUCCUGACUCUGGAGCCCGUGAGUUCUACCUUAUAGAGCAAAAGGAGCUCUGCAGGGGGCGCCUGGGUGGCACAGCGGUUAAGCUUC